GGCCUGAUGGUCUAGUAGUAUGAUUCCUUGUUAGGGCAUUCAGCUGUUUCGAGGAGGUCCUGGGUUCAAUUCCCAGUUAGGCCC